AUUGAACGCUGGCAGCAGGCCUAACACAUGCAAGUCGAACGAGUGGCGGACGGGUGAGUAAUGUCUGGGAAACUGCCUGAUGGAGGGGGAUAACUACUGGAACCGGUAGCUAAUACCGCAUACCAUCAGAUGGGCCCAGAUGGGUUUAGCUAGUUGGUGGGGUAACGGCUCACCAAGGCGACGAUGCCUAGCUGGUCUGAGAGGGUGACCAGCCACACUGGGACUGAGACACGGUCCAGACUCCUACGGGAGGCAGCAGUGGGGAAUAUUGCGCAAUGGGCGCAAGCCUGAUGCAGCAAUGCCGCGUGUGUGAAGAAGGCCUUCGGGUUGUAAAGUACUGUCAGCGGGGAGGCGUUACCCACAGAAGAAGCACCGGCUAACUCCGUGCCAGCAGCCGCGGUAAUAC
rnacentral:rRNA from 1 species